rnacentral:rRNA from 1 species
GACAGAGGUGCCGAGCGUUAGGCGGAAUCACUGGGCUUAAAGCGUGUGUAGGCGGAUCGUUAAGUGCCUUGUGAAAUCCCACGGCUCAACCGUGGAACUGCUUGGCAUACUGGCGAUCUUGAGCCACUUAGGGGCUACCGGAACAAAUGGUGGAGCGGUGAAAUGCGUAGAUAUCAUUUGGAACGCCAAUGGUGAAAACAGGUAGCUGGGAGUGUGCUGACGCUGAGACACGAAAGCCAGGGGAGCGAACAGG